GCCUAGCUGGCUCAGUCGGUAGAGCGUGCGACUCUUGAUUUUGGGGUCGUGAGUUCCAGCCCCUUGUUGGGCA
rnacentral:tRNA from 1 species